UAGUUUUCCGCCAACACUCCUUCUCUCCCAUGUCAUCAUCAUCCCACACUUCCGUCCGUCUUCUUCCUUCUUAUUUCCUCCUUUUUAUUCCCUAAACCCCUCACCCUCCCUAAACAAACACUUGCAACUUUUGCUCUCUCUUUCCCAAAUUCUUAAAUUCGAAAUCUUUUUCAUUUUUUCCUUUCCGGGUUUUCUGUAUCGUCAUCUACAAAUGAUACCCACGAAGCGCAGCCACAGAUUCUUCAAAUUUAGGUCUCCGUAGCUUUCUCAAGGUUCUAUUGGUUUUCCUUUUUUUGUCUUCUUGAUUAUAAAUCCACCACUACCCACCAACAAAAGUCGUAAUUUUCCUGAUCAAAUCCAUCCAGAGUUGUCUAAUACUCAUCUCUAUCUUUACCCUUUUAGUCUUUUUACUCUCUUUCUGUGUUAUCGCUUUUCAACAAAGACCAACACGUUUUUUAUUUGACUCAUUUCCAUUUCAAUACUCUGCUUUUUUGGAAUCUUGAAAUCUUAAUUAUCAGUUUUAUCUGGAGGACCAAAUGUUAGCUAAGAAGUACGACUUCUCACGAGUGGUGGUGGAGAUUGCUUGGAUAAUGCUCAGGAUUGAUUACUCUAGGCUUUUUUGGCUUCUCUUUGGUGUUUUCUCUUAUGAGAAUCAUGAAGGAAAGCCCAGGAUUUAACUCUAAUUAAAUACUCCAUUACUACUUUGAAUUUUUCACAAGUAGCCUUCCUUUUUCGAUCCUCAAACAUUCUUUUACUUUUUGAUCUCUUUUGAUUCUCUUUUCAAAGAUUUCCAACCCUUUUUCUAAUCACCCACAUAAGCAAACUCUACAAACAUGCACCGAAAGAAACUUGGAGAGCUCACAGAUGAAGCCAAGGCCGACUAUGGAUACGUUGAAACCGAUCCUACUGGUCGAUAUUGCCGAUUUGACGAAGUUCUUGGCAGAGGAGCAAUGAAAACUGUGU